AUGCACCCCACAUCUCUCCAGAUUUCAGGAAGACUAUUAUUCUUUGACUUUAGCUUUCUGAUGGGUUCACAAAAAGCUGUUAGUGUGCUGUUGGUCCAGCUUUUUUCUUGUUGGAAAUAUGAGAGCUACAGUUCUGCGAUGAAACCACAGUGGAGACAAUGUAUUCACAGGUUUCAGAGUGUGGCUACUUGCUGUGAAAGCUGAGAAUGACGCACUGCAUUAGCGAGUCCUGAAGAUCCUUUCCAGCUCUUUGAUUAUUUGACAUUCUGACUGGCACAAAGAGGCACACCUGCAAUCCUACUGAGCGUUCCAUGGAUCAUUAAUGAUUUUUCAUAGUGAAGGAAGCAGAGGUAAUGUAGACUCUGAAAGCUGAUACUUCUCACUGUAGAUGUACACUCUUGUGUUACAGUGUUUUUGUAUGUGAGAAUUUCCACCUACCAACCCUUGAAGGUCUCUGAGCACAAGGGAUUGACUGAGUGCACUUUAAGUUAAAAUACCUCGUGCAAACCCAGCAUGGUGUACCUGCAGUGAGGAGACUGUUAUGGAUGCUCAUUUCAUAUCUUUUACAGCUUAUGCUCUGCAUAUGCUGUUUAAGCCUUGUCUCUCUUUUUCCUUAAGUUUUGAAAUGCUUUUUAUUGUGUAGAAAAGUUAAAUUUCUUUAAAAUGUUAAUUAAAAAUAAAAAUGUUUUGAGAGUAAAAUGUG
rnacentral:lncRNA from 1 species